AUUGAACGCUGGCGGCAGGCCUAACACAUGCAAGUCGAGCGGAUGAAGGGAGCUUGCUCCUGGAUUCAGCGGCGGACGGGUGAGUAAUGCCUAGGAAUCUGCCUGGUAGUGGGGGAUAACGUCCGGAAACGGGCGCUAAUACCGCAUACGUCCUGAGGGAGAAAGUGGGGGAUCUUCGGACCUCACGCUAUCAGAUGAGCCUAGGUCGGAUUAGCUAGUUGGUGGGGUAAAGGCCUACCAAGGCGACGAUCCGUAACUGGUCUGAGAGGAUGAUCAGUCACACUGGAACUGAGACACGGUCCAGACUCCUACGGGAGGCAGCAGUGGGGAAUAUUGGACAAUGGGCGAAAGCCUGAUCCAGCCAUGCCGCGUGUGUGAAGAAGGUCUUCGGAUUGUAAAGCACUUUAAGUUGGGAGGAAGGGCAGUAAGUUAAUACCUUGCUGUUUGGACGUGACCAACAGAAGAAGCACCGGCUAACUUCGU
rnacentral:rRNA from 1 species